GUGACGUCAUUAGGGUGGGCCCGAAUCCAACAGGACUGUUGCCCGAUAAAAGGGGCAGAUUUGUAACAGACACACACACAGGGGGAAGCCCACGUGAGGAUGAAGGCAGAGAUCGGUGUGGUGCAUCUACAAGCCAAGGAAUGCCAAAGAUUGCCAGCAAACCACCAGAAGGAGAAAGGCAUGAAAAAGACUCUCCCUCACAGCCCUGAGAAGGAACCAACCCUGCCAACGCCUUGAUCUUCGACUUCUAUCCUCUGUAUCUGUGAGAGAAGAAAUUUCAGCCAGCACUCUUCUGUCAUUCCAGAACUUCUACGACCAGCAAUGAGGAAAGAGAAAUUGAUUUGUUUUGUCAUGGGCAGAACAUCUGACCUGCAGGACUAGACUAAACUCAAGAAAUUUCAGGUAAAAUGUGCUGAGCCUUCUUAGGAAAAUUCUAUUAGAUCAGACCUAAACUUGAAAGGUUUAAAUUGACCCUAUGACCAAGCCCUCUGGAAGCUGGGAAAGUAGCACAGCAGUGCCUAGAAAAAACCAUGGCCAGAGAUCAGAAUUUAAAUUUGCGUCCCCAGUAAGAUUUUAUUCCUUCUAGUAGACACAAUUUUAGAGCAUGAAUGAGGUGAAGUUUCCAGCUGACAUGUGUGAGUUUCUCCUUCCGGAAAAAAGGGGGGACAAAACAAAAUAUGACCAGGAGACUGGCAGAUGAAGGUCCCAGCCUCCGUGCUCUAUGCCUGCAGGAAGCCCCGCGUUUCCCUGCAUUUCUGCCAAAGCAUCUCUACUCACAGCCAAAGAGUGGGUACCCCUCCUCGGAGAUCUUCCUCCAUCUUCCCCACCCCCUGUCAGCAUGACGGCUGAGUAGUCAGCCCUGAACUCACCUAGUGGCACCUCACUCUGCCCUCUCUGGGCUGGCAUCCAUUGGGCUGCCGCUACGUGAAACCUGGGCACAUGCCGGACCCUCCAUCUCCCACAGCUCAGCAAAUUCCAAGCUGGGCCACUAUGCAAAACUUGACUGUAAAGCAGUUGAGAGUGACAAUGCAGAAAAAAAGAAGAUUUGACACAGGUUCCUAGGUAUGUCUGCUCUGCAAUGCCGGGGCCUGGAAUCAGGUGCUGUGCGUCCUGGAGAAACACCCCUGGACAACAUGGCCCUGGAGUAGCCAUAAAAAUGUACUUCCCAGUCCCUUCACUGCAGGGAAUGUGGUUACCAGGAGCCCAAGGUGCCGUGCUCUGAAAUCCAUCACCUCAUUUGUCUCAUGGUUGUACUUCUCAUAGACUAAUCCCCCACAGUGACAAUGUUUGAGUGUGGCAGUGAUACGAGGAAAGGUGAAUGCCUGGGAGACAGAAGACUUCGCUGACGAUCACCUUUGGCUUGAAGACUCCCAAACUGCCUUUCCCAAUCUUCCUAUUCCCAUCCUCUCUCUUUCACUCAAAGUCAGACUUGCUUUCAGCUCAGGUGGGUCUCCUAGCCUCACCCAGAUCCUGCCCCAUAUUCCCUCACACAGGUAUUCCUCCUAACGCAAUCCUUUUCCAUUUAAUCACAUCUGGUCUGCUUCUCCAAGGAUCCAUCUUGGAGUCUCCUUAUCAGGGAAUCCAAACGAACCCGGUAUCCUUUUAUUUAAGCUUUUCCAUCCAAGAAGGCAUGCCUGUUUUUUCAAAGUAGGAGCUGUUUUUCAUCAAAUGAGAAGUUAAGGCUCCACCAACUCAGGAAGAGGGGAAAAAAAUGCCUGUAUCUUUCAAACGGCUCUUUUUUCUCCCUUCUAGGGCCGUGACUGUUUUAGAUAUUAUUAGGGUCCAGUUUCAGUGAAAGCAUAAGCCACCCAAUGUAUUGUUAUAUCUUCACAGUCAGAAGGGAUGUCUGCCUGUGUAUAAUGGAUGUAUGUAACUCUUUUUGGAUCCUCUUCAGGACAAAAAGGGAAAAAGAUAGAUCCAAUUCACGGACAUCCCAGUUCAUGUGGCAGCAGGUGGGAUUCUUACUGGCUGAGAGUGGUUCUUAAAACAACGCCCAGUGAUUAAAACCCACAGCUGAGGUGCAGAAGGCCCCCAGGAAUUGAACUCACAACUCAUUCAGUGCCGAUAGUAGGCUGGGAUGGUGGCUUCAGGGGCCUGGAGACCAGCCAGGGGAAUCUCUUCUGGAAGGGGCAGCCCCAAGUGCCCAUCCAGGCAUGGAUGGGUCUGAGAGAGUCUGAGGUCUCAGUCCAUUCAGGGCUUCUCAAGAAGAAAGCGGGGUGCAUCUUGAAGCCCACAAAGGCCUGUGAGGUCCCUGUGAGAAGCAGAACUUGCUGAAGUAUGUGGUCCCUGCUGCCCAGUCCUGUGCAGGGAAAACAAAAUCUGCAUAUGCGUGUGUGUGUGUGUGUGUGUGUGUGUGUGUGUGUAUUGGUCCUCAAUUGCUAUCAAAGAGGUCUUGUCUGCAACCACUGUCAGGGACUUAUGGACAGAUAGCUCAAUUAUGCUAGUAAUGAGUGAGGGUGACUUGAGAAUGACAAUGCAAUGGGCUUGAGGAUUGUGUUUAUCUGUAACUUCAACCCUCUCACUUUAUUAAUAAAAACCCGUGUUACUUCAUUUUAUACCAGAAGGCUCAUGACUUUAAAAUUGGAGUAGAUCACAUUUGCAGAUGACUUCAUCAUGGUCUGCCCAAGGUAGAAAUCUCA
ensembl:lncRNA